CAUUGAAAACUGACAGAAGAGAGUGAGCACACAGAGGCAAUUGUAUAAGUUUAUGCUUUUGCUUUUGCGUGCUCAUUUCUCUUUCUGUCAGCUUCCAGUGCC
rnacentral:pre_miRNA from 1 species